rnacentral:rRNA from 1 species
GGAAUAUUGCACAAUGGGGGAAACCCUGAUGCAGCGACGCCGCGUGAGUGAAGAAGUAUUUCGGUAUGUAAAGCUCUAUCAGCAGGGAAGAAAAUGACGGUACCUGAUUAAGAAGCCCCGGCUAACUACGUGCCAGCAGCCGCGGUAAUACGUAGGGGGCAAGCGUUAUCCGGAUUUACUGGGUGUAAAGGGAGCGUAGACGGCAGCACAAGUCUGGAGUGAAAUGCCGGGGCUUAACCCCGGAACUGCUUUGGAAACUGUGCAGCUAGAGUGUCGGAGAGGCAGGCGGAAUUCCUAGUGUAGCGGUGAAAUGCGUAGAUAUUAGGAGGAACACCAGUGGCGAAGGCGGCCUGCUGGACGAUGACUGACGUUGAGGCUCGAAAGCGUGGGGAGCAAACAG